rnacentral:rRNA from 1 species
UCCAGACUCCUACGGGAGGCAGCAGUGGGGGAUAUUGCACAAUGGGGGGAACCCUGAUGCAGCGACGCCGCGUGGGUGAAGGAGCGUUUCGGCGCGUAAAGCCCUAUCGGCAGGGAAGAAGGAGGACGGUACCUGACUAAGAAGCCCCGGCUAACUACGUGCCAGCAGCCGCGGUAAUACGUAGGGGGCAAGCGUUAUCCGGGUUUACUGGGUGUAAAGGGGGCGCAGACGGCAGCGCAAGCCAGGAGUGAAAGCCCGGGGCCCAACCCCGGGACUGCUCUUGGAACUGCGCGGCUGGAGUGCAGGAGGGGCAGGCGGAAUUCCUGGUGUAGCGGUGAAAUGCGUAGAUAUCAGGAGGAACACCGGUGGCGAAGGCGGCCUGCUGGACUGCGACUGACGUUGAGGCCCGAAAGCGUGGGGAGCAAACAGGAUUAGAUACCCUCGUAC